AUGUAAUGUAAUGCCUACAAUGUCAAUGCACCUGAUCCCAUCAGAACUCUACAGAUCAGUGUGCUUGGGAUAGAGUAGUACUGGGAUGGGUGACCUCAUAGGAAGUCCUAGAGUCUUACAUG
rfam:Picea glauca, whole genome shotgun sequence.